GUUAUCGGAAGAUAAUUGGGCAUAAGAUACUGAGGAAAAUGAUGCAAUUUGGGGACGGAUUUUGAAGCUUUUAAAAGUGAUGUCAGCUCCGCGCUAGUGAUCCUUAUUAAUGCAGUGGCAUCAGGAAGUGGAGACGGCGUCUUAGGAUUUUUAAUUUUUUGUGUUUAUAAUCGCGAAAAUUGGCGAUUUCGUUUUGUUUUUGCGAAGCCCGCCUCCUCCUGUCGGUUGCGUUAGAUGUUGAUCAGCAGUUGGCUGUGGUCAAGUAGGUUUUAGCGUCAGUUCUUGUAGGCGCUCGUCAGUCUGAGUUUUGAGAGAGUAUGGAGGCAGAUAGAAGUGCGCUUUUCCAUCAGAUAAAGAUGUCGUUUUACUAGAUAUAAGUAUUUGUAAGUUUAAUUGGAUGUAUCCAUGUCAAGAUUGUUGUCUCUUCCUUGAGUAAUUAUUGCCAAUAAAAUGUCGAUUUUCUUUUCUAAA